UGGCGGACGGGUGAGUAACGCGUGGAAAACCUGCCGUAUACUGGGGGAUAACACUUAGAAAUAGGUGCUAAUACCGCAUAAGCGCACAGCUUCGCAUGAAGCGGUGUGAAAAACUCUGGUGGUAUACGAUGGUUCCGCGUCUGAUUAGCUUGUUGGCGGGGUAACAGCCCACCAAGGCGACGAUCAGUAGCCGGCCUGAGAGGGUGAACGGCCACAUUGGGACUGAGACACGGCCCAAACUCCUACGGGAGGCAGCAG
rnacentral:rRNA from 1 species